rnacentral:rRNA from 1 species
UGUCUCAGUUCGGAUUGGAGUCUGCAACCCGACUCCAUGAAGCUGGAUUCGCUAGUAAUCGCGCAUCAGCCACGGCGCGGUGAAUACGUUCCCGGGCCUUGUACACACCGCCCGUCAAGCCAUGGAAGCCGGGGGUGCCUGAAGUGUGCAGCCGCAAGGAGCGCCCUAAGGUAAAACCGGUGACUGGGGCUAAGUCGUAACAAGGUACC